AUUGAACGCUGGCGGCAGGCCUAACACAUGCAAGUCGAGCGGAUGAAGGGAGCUUGCUCCUGGAUUCAGCGGCGGACGGGUUAGUAAUGCCUAGGAAUCUGCCUGGUAGUGGGGGAUAACAUCCGGAGACGGGCGCUAAUACCGCGUACGUCCUGAGGGGGAGCGUGGGGGGUCUUCGGACCUCACGCUGUCAGAUGAGCCUAGGUCGGAUUAUCUAGUUGGUGGGGUAAAGGCCUACCAAGGCGACGAUCCGUAGCUGGUCUGCGAGGAUGAUCAGUCACACUGGAACUGAGACACGGUCCAUACUCCUACGGGAGGCCGCAGUGGGGAAUAUUGGGCAAUGGGCGAAAGCCUUAUCCAGCCAUGCCGCGUGUGUGAAGAAGGUCUUCGGAUUGUAAAGCACUUUAAGUUGGGAGGAAGGGCAGUAAGUUAAUACCUUGCUGUUUUGACGGUACCAACAGAAUAAGCACCGGCUAACUUCGUG
rnacentral:rRNA from 1 species